ACCGAAUAUCACUCUGUACAUCACACAUAAAUCUACAUCAAAGUCGAAUGAAAGGUGAACAAACACACAUUGGUACGACAUUUCUUAUAUAAGGCAUCUUGUUACACUACAAAUAGUAGCGACAGUCGCGAGGGCUCAUGGGAAGGUGCAUUUUAAAAAGAAAAAGUAUCCGACUUAAAAAUUCUAAUACAGCAUCAUCAAUCACCAAGACAUUCCUGACAAUAUACGCAUGCAUAAUGUGAUAUUACUUUCCUCAGCAACAGCUCUUUUUCAUAUAGUGCGAGGGAGGGGCGUAAGGCGCUCAGUGAAAUAAGCGAGGGAUGUCCCAUAACGUGCACCGUAGUUAGUGGAUCACAUGUGGGUGGCGGAAGUGACGGAUGAAUCCUGUGAAAGUCAAGACCUUCGCUGUGGUUUGUUUAGCAGCUCAUUUUGCGCUGUGUCUCGGAAUCUCCUCACCUGCAGGAGACAGUGACAAGUAGGGGAAGCUGCUGACUGAAGGAAAGCAAUGGCAUCACCCAGACGUGUUGCAGAUAUUGGCUACAGACUCUUUUCUGGAUCAAUGAUGCUGCUGACUCUAUACGGCGGUUAUUUGUGCAGUGUCCGGGCGUAUAGAUAUUUCCAGCGUAGAGAACAACUGCGUUUGGCAGCAGAAAAUCAGACGGAUGAAAUCCUAAAAGACUGAAUCCAUUCCUCCAACCUGGACACACUCACCACUCAUCUGCCCUGAGUGAAGCAUCCGGCCGUAACCAUGAAUUGGCUUUUUCUUCCAAAUUACAACUUGUGCUUCUGGGAUUUGUGACUGAAAAUAUAAAUUUUUGGUGCAUAAGUGAUAAUGUACCUCUUUUCCUGAUGUUCAGCAAGUAAGAUGUUGAAUAAAAUGUAUUUUUUUUUAUAAGCUGUA